CAUGCCUGCGGGUAAAGCUGCUGACGGACACUGAUCGGUCUGCAGCUAUCAUAACAGCAUGUGCAGCGCUCCACAACAUUGCCUGUUUGCGUAGGGACCCAUGUCCACUCUCCGAUGAAGCACACCCCGACGUUAAUUUACCCGACAACCCCAGCCAAGGAGAUCCCGACACUGUUGCUGGUGCACAAGUACGCAGCUGCUACAUCCGCCGGUGUUUUUCCUCUGGGAACGAACACACAGGUCCAGUGCAAACCUGAACAUCAAGGCGAGCCUCGAGUUCUACGUCGAGUGUGUGCUGCAACAGAGACAGCCUGCCUCCGCGGACAUUCCGCACACUUGACCCAGCUGUUGGGGCUUCACUUUGUGCACCUGGCUGAGCAGCUUCCUCUUGGCUCAUGUCCGCAUCGACUUUGGGAUCGUCCAAGCAUAAGCUAUCUUCACCAACCACGGAUGGUGUGUGAGAGCUCUGCAGCAUUGACUGCAUAGCUGCUCUGUCGGUUUGGCUGAGUUCUUCUGUUUGGUCUGCAAUAAAAGUUGUUUCAUCCAUGAAAGACAAGCGAAGAAAUGUGAGGAAGCACCUCAUGAAACAAAUACCAAUAUUAUUCACGGUCUUCGUUUACUAGAUGUUUGUAUACUUUGAAAUGACAAUAAACACCAUUACCUGCAUGCACUGACAA